rnacentral:lncRNA from 1 species
UAAAAAUUAAAAUUGAUUCCAAAAGGCAAAGAAUGAACGAAUCCUAAUUCCUAAAUUCCUAAAGACCGCUAUUUCUUCAUCGUUCAUUAUUCAGCAAGAAGCCAAGACAAGAACCCUAAUUCCUAAAUUCAUUCUCUUAAUAACUCACGAAGUGGAGCGCCGGAGCAAUGAGUGGCGAAGGGGAACGACGAACGGGUGAACCAAGUCCAACGAACCAGGUACCCUUUGGCAUUUGACAUUUGUUUAUCUUCUGUUUGUGAGAUUUGACCUUUUUAAUCUUGAUCCAUCGAUUCCCUCUAAAUUCUUUCAACUUUCUAACUUUUCUUUCUAUAAAAAUCAAAAGUUUCAAAUUUCAACCUUAAACCGCAAAUACAAGAAUUUUCAGUUCAAUUUGGCUAGAGACGCACUUUGCUUAACAUGACAUUUUCUUAUAUGAACAACUAACAAACAAUAUAUAGAUAGUUUGACUGAAUGUAGAGUUUAUGUGUGAUGUUUGACUGAAUACACGGUUUCAAUUUUAUUUUCUAUUUGUGAGAUUUUCAUCCUUUUGAAAGUUCUGAAUGUAUUGAUAAUCUCAUUGACUGUGUUUUAGGAGAGUAUUGUUUUGAUUAUUAUGCAUCUCCUGAUGUGAUGUCUACAAUUUUAUUUUCUCUUACAAUUUUACAUAGAUGGCUGAUGAAAGUCGAGUUAGUAUGGCUGGUUCAUCUGAUAGUAUACCCGUGAAUAUAAUGACAAUUCAAUUGACACUCUUGAUCAAAGAAAAGGAAAUAAAUAGAAAGUAGAUCUGCUUCUUGGGAACAUUUUGAAAAGAUAUUUGAAAAUGGUAAAUUAGUUAAAGCAAAGUGUCUGCAUUGCCAUCAAAAUUAUGCAGCUCAUUCAAGAAAUAAAACAAGUGGACUGAAACAACAUUUAAAUAGAUGCAAAAUGUAUAAGCCUCCGCCCACCCCGUCUAAUGGUCAAACAUUGUUAAACUUUCAAACAAAGGAGUCAUAGGGAGAAUAUUGGAAAUUUGAGCAAGAGGUAGUUAGGAGAGCUUUAGUCGAAAUGAUAAUUAUAGAUGAACUACCAUUUAGCUUCGUAGAAAAUGAAAGCUUUAGAAAGUUUAUGAUUAAAACCCAACCUUUGUUUUGGAUUCCUUCUCGUAGAACAAUAACAAGGGAUUGUUAUGAUGUGUAUGGUGAAUUGAGACUAAUCUUGAAGAGUUCUUUUAGAGAAAUGCAACCAAGAAUUUAUCUUACAACAGACACAUGAACAUCAGUGCAAAAAAUUAACUAUAUGUGUUUAACUGAUCAAUUUAUUGACAGAGAUUGGGUGCUUCAAAAAAGAAUAUUAAAUUUUUUUUCUAUCACUAAUCAUAAAGGUGAACAUUUGGCGGAGUGUAUUAGCAAUUGUUUGCUUGAUUGGAAUUUGGACAAUGUUUUUAGUGUUACUAUUGACAAUGCUUCUUCAAAUAAUGUUGCGGUUUCAGCUUUGUCUAAGAAGUUAGACAUGUGGGGAACCAAUAUCAUUGAUGGUAAGCAUCUCCACGUGAGAUGUAUGGCUCACAUACUUAAUCUAAUUGUGCAAGAUGGUUUGAAGGAAAUUGGUCCUUCUAUCAAAUUGGUAAGACAAAUGGUAAGUAUGUUAUAUCCUUUCCCGCAAGAACAAAAAACUUCACAAAAUGUUAUGAAAUGCAAAAGAUAGAAUGUAGCAAGAUGUUAUCAUUGGAUAUGUCCUACUAGGUGAAAUAUUUGAUGUUGGAGGUGGCAGAAAAUUUUGAGAAGGCUUUUGAGAGGUUUGAUCUUUAGGAUGAUAACUUCAAUUCUUAUCUUUUUACUGAUGUUUGUGAAGAUGGUACUGUUGCAGGUUUAAUUCAAAGUAAUGAUUGGGUAAAUGUGAGAAAUGUCAUCAAGUUUCUUAAAAGAUUUUAUGAGCUCACCCUAAAGGUUUCAGGUUCACGGUAUGUCACUUGUAAUAUUCAUUUUGAGAAUAUAUGUGAACUUGAUGCUGAUUUGAAAGUGAACAUGACUAGUGAUGAUCUUGAGUUGCGCAAAAUGGCUAUGGGGAUAAAAGAAAAGUUCAAGACUUAUUGGGGACUCCUGAAAAGAUGAACAAAAUGAUUUUUAUGGCUUCUGUAUUGGAUCCUCGUAAUAAGUUUGAGCAUGUUAGCUUUGCGNNNNNNNNNNNNNNNNNNNNNNGAAAGUAAGCGAUGAAGUAGAAUCGUAUUUGAAGGAUUUGUUUGCUUUCUAUGUAAGAAAGUAUUCAAAAGGUUCUAAAAAUAAUUCAUCUUUACCCGGAUACACUUCAUCUGACUCAUUUGGAUCUGAUUCAUCCAAUUCUAUCCAUCCUUAAAGUUUGAAGAUAAAUACUUUGAGAAAUAAGCUUCACAUGAAGAAAAAGUCUAAAGAUUGUGGUAGCACCGGAGGUACUAAAUGUGAGUUGGAUAAAUACCUUGGUGAAAACCAAGAGCCUGUGCCCGAGCCUGGAUCCGAAUGUGAAUCUGAGGAUUUUGAUAUCUUAAAUUGGUGGAAAGUUAAUUCUCCUAGAUUUUCCAUCCUUUCACAGUUAGCUCGUGAUGUAUUAGCCAUUCCAAUGUCAAGUGUGGCAUCAGAAUGUGCGUUUAGCACCGGUGAUCAUAUUCUUUAUCCAUUUAGAAGUUCAUUAACUUCUAAAUGUGUGCAAUGUCUUAUUUGUGUUCAAAAUUGACUUAGACAAGAGACUAGUCCUAUUUGUGUUGAAGAAAAUUUAGAGUUUCUUGAAAAAAUUGAACUUGGUAUGUAAGACUUUGUAUUUUUUUGUGUGUUUUUGAGAGAAAAUUUUAAAAUACUUAUUCGUGUUGUAAUUUAACGUAUUUUUUUAAAAUAUUAUUAGAGAUGGCAAAUAGUGGACGAGACUCUUACAUUGUUGAUUUAUGAUUGUGAUUUGCUAGUACUUCGUAUUGGUGAUGAUUGGUGAGCUCAAUAUUUUAUUUGUUUGGUUAUUCGUUUAUCUUGUAAAUUAUAAGAUAUAUUCUAACUUUUGAUUUCAUGUUGAAGGGUCAAGUGAUACCUCCUAAACCUAAAGCGCAUGCGGCUAUUUGGGAACAUUAUAAAGUGGUUGAUGACAAGGAAGAAGUACGUAAAGUAAGAUGCCUGAGAUGUGGCUUAAUGCUUAAUUGUCAUCCGAAAAAUGUGGCACAUUUCAUUUGCGUAGGCACAUUUCAUUUGAGUAAACAUUUCAAGAAGUGUCUUACAAGAGACGAGAAUAAGUUGCUUCGUCUUUAAACAGUUGAGAGUUGAGAUGAUUCUCCCUACUCCCUACUCCCUAGUUGUUUUUUAACUUUUAAACUUCUUGUUGCUACUUAUUUUUUUAUUUGCAGGUUGCUAGUCGGAUACUGUUUUAACCUUUUAGGCUGCUACUGUUUUUACAUCUUAUGUAUGUUGGUUUACCAUUUAAUUGUGUGUUGAUUUGCUGAUUACAUUUGUUGUGGCCGGUGAUCCUUUGACAGUGAAUAUGUGUGGCAUGUGAGUCUUUGAUAGUG